rnacentral:rRNA from 1 species
UGCCAGCCGCCGCGGUAAUACGAAGGGUGCUAGCGUUGUUCGGAAUUACUGGGCGUAAAGAGCAUGUAGGCGGAUGAAUUAGUCAGAGGUGAAAGCCCCGAGCUCAACUUGGGAACUGCCUUUGAUACUGCUAGUCUUGAGUUCGAGAGAGGUAAGUGGAAUUCCGAGUGUAGAGGUGAAAUUCGUAGAUAUUCGGAGGAACACCAGUGGCGAAGGCGACUUACUGGCUCGAUACUGACGCUGAGGUGCGAAAGUGUGGGGAGCAAACAGGAUUAGAUA